GAGAGAGUUUUAGAGGAAAAGAAAGGGCAAAACAGCUCUCAUUCUCUCUCCCUACGCUGUUGUGUGUAUCUAUUUCAUAUAUACAAAAAACAUAUACAUACACAUCAACGGAAAAGAGCAUUACAUUUGAGAAUCGAUUCGAUCGCAGCGUCAUCACAACAAACACUGAUUGAUUCUUCAACAACACCAGGUGUUGGCGAGGAAGGAUUUCAUAUUUACUGAUUUUCAGGGGUAAUCAUAGAGAAACACGUAUAUACAGAUAUAUAUACAUACACGAUCAAGUGGUUUGUUCGAUCAGGAAUUGCGAUUGCGACGAACCUGGGAGGGUUCAGAGCAAUCCCUUCCUCGGAUUUGGUGGGUUUUUUCUGAGUGAAUUGGUGGUUCAGACGCGGAUUCUUUCGAUUUUGAGUGAUAUGUUGGACUUUAGGAUAGGCGGUGGCAAAUUAGGGUUAGGGUUUUGGGUUGCUUAGGUUAGACACAGGGUUUGUGGGUUGGGAAGUGUGCCUGAGGAGGAUAUGGAACCAAAAUAUGAGCUUGAGGAAGGCGAGGCGCGCUAUCACGGGCUUGAUGAUGCUGAUGAUACAAGCAUUGACCCUGAUAUAGCACUCUCUUACCUUGAUGAGAAGGUACAAAGUGUUUUGGGCCAUUUUCAGAAAGAUUUUGAAGGAGGAGUUACUGCUGAAAAUUUGGGAGCAAAAUUUGGUGGGUAUGGCUCAUUUCUUCCCACCCAUCAGCGUUCUCCUUCAGUAUUGUCUCAGCCUAAAUCUCCACCAAGAUUUCAUAGCCACAACAUGCCAGGGUCUCCUAAGCAUUUGAUCACAGAGAGUGCCCCUCAGAAUUCUCUGGGUCUUCCCAAUGCACCUUUGUCUCAGAAAAAUGGAGUGGCUGUUUCUGGCAAUUCACAUUCAUUACUUGCUUUGAGGGGUGCACCAGGGGAUGGCUCAGUGAGAAAAGAGUCACGCUUGCCAUCAGCCCAAGUUGCUGAAAAGUGCCUUGCAAAAGAUGAACCUUACUUGAAUAAGUCAGUCACUUCAACUGAUCAGAGAACACUAAAAGUUCGGAUCAAAGUACAUCCACACAAGACAACACAGAAAAAUGCUGCAAUAUACAGUGGUCUUGGGCUUACUUCUCCUUCAUCAAUGGAAAGUAGUCCUGUGGAAAGUGGUGAAAUGUCACCUGAUUCUCAAGAAGCUUGUGAUGAAUCUCCUGGCCGCAUUCUUCAGGUGAUGACAUCUUUCCCAGUUGCUGGGGGUCUUCUGCUUUCACCUCUUCAUGAUCAUUUACUCGCCUUGUCAAGAAAUGGAAGUAACUUGGGAUGUGGUAAGCUUGUUGCUGCUCGAAAGAAUGGGCACAACAAUUCAUCCAUUUCUACUGAUGCUUCAACUUCCAGUUUGGGGAAUGUCAAUGAGCUGAAAGGGAAGAAAGUAAAUUCUAUUUCCCAGAGUGAAAACUUUGUGGAACCAAAGAAUAGGGGUAAAAUUGAGAAUGGGCAUGAUAUUGCCUCCUGUUUGAGGAAAAAGUUAGGAAGUGAGACCUUGGAAAACAAACAGUAUCUCUCUACUGACUUGAAUGCUAAAGAUUUAUCUGAUUUAGGAUGUGAUACUGGUGGAUCACUUAAAGGUGCUAGCUUUGCAUCCAAAGCUGUUAGAGAGUCUGAUGAGGCCAUGUCAUCAAAGAAAAGGGAGCUUACAAGUGGUAAGAUGAAAGAUAUAUCCCUGAACGGUGACUUGAUUAAUGAUGAGUCCGUUGCAUUGAUUACUGGCCAAGGUGGUGGUAACUUUGAUAAUCGAGAUUCAAAAAGCAACUCAAUGGAGAAAAUUGGGGAACACCAGGUAAGAGGUUUUCAUAAGGAUAAUAAGGAACGCGGCGGGAGUAAGGAAGACAGAAUUCGAAUUCUUACUUCUGUUACAGCCAAUUCUGAUAUUUCUGAGGGUAGAAAAGACUCAAAAGGGGCUGCUGAGAAGUUAAAAGAAGUAAAUGUGAAGGCUACAAGUCAUCAACAAGAUAAAUUGAAGAUACUAGACACAAAGAAGAAGACAUCUGAAGGGAAAAAGAAGUCAGUGGGUAGUCAACUUUCUGGAAAGUCUGCUUCUAAGCUGUCAGAUAAAAGUGCUGGUUCUUCUGCUGUUAUAAAGAACAAAAAGAAUUCUGGGAAGGAUGUACUAGAAAGGACCUCUGGUCAUAAGUUAAAGGAGUCUAAGCUGGAUGCACAUAGAGAACUGCAAGCAAGUUCUGAUAAAUCAAGGCUGAAAUCUGCUCAUACAAAAAUUGACAACCAGUUGAUAUCUGGGAAAAUUAUGAAGGAGACUUCAAUGUAUGGAAUACCUUCCACUAGGGAACCUAUACUGCAUACAGAAGAGGCACCACCAGCUCCUUUUCUUAUUGAGGAGGACUGGGUCCAAUGUGACAAAUGCCAAAAGUGGCGUCUUCUACCACAGGGUAUGAAACCUGAUCAUUUGCCCUCAACUUGGCUAUGCAGCAUGCUAAACUGGCUGCCUGGAAUGAACAGCUGUGACUUCAGUGAGGAUGAAACAACUGGAGCUCUUAAUGCUUUAUAUGUUCCUCUCCCUGAGAAUCCAAAUAACCUUCAAACUUAUGCUGGUAAAAUUGAAGGUGGAGUAAAUCCAGCCAAUGCUUGUGACUUGAGUGGGAAUAGGAAAAAUGCCAGUUACACGGCCAAUCUAGGAAGGAAAAAACAUAAAGUGAAGAGAAGUAAAAAUGAUGAAUUACUUGCUGCAACAAACUUUACGAAGAGCAUCCAGGGAGAAAUGGUGAAAGGUAGAACUUUGGUAAAUGUGAACCAGGCUCCAUCGGGAUCAAUUUCAAUGCGCAAAUUCAAUGACAAGGAUUUUAGUGAACAGGGGGAACCUGUAGUUAUUGGUGAUGAAAAGUCUAGAAAGAAAAUAAAAAGAGAGCCCAACUUAUCGGACUAUAAGGAUGUGAAGAAGAUAAAAGCUGAUAGUGAGCUAGCUUCUGGUGUGGACCUUGGUAUGCUGGCCUCAACUAAUGGUUUGCCUACUAAGGUAGCUAUGAAAGAGAAACACAAGAAAAAUGGGUAUUUGAAGGAAACAAAGUCUAAUGUGGGGAUUGGGUUACGGGUCUCUGUGAAAAAGCAGGACCACAUGCAUGAUUCUCUGGAUAAUGGGUCAUUAGAUAUAAAAGCGUGUAACGAAAGGGAACUAUCUACAAAGAAAAGAAAAUUUAAGGACAGUGAUUAUUUGGAGACAUUGCAAAGUAAUGUGGCUCCUCUUGGAGUUAGCAAGGUGUCCAUCAAGGAUGAGAGCAGUGAUGGUGGAUUCAAGAAACAUAAGAAAUCCAAGAUCUCUCAGACUGAAGCAAAUGAGUCCAGUACAAGUAAGAGUGAGCAAAAACCAAAGGCAAGAGCUGCAGUGACCAGAAUUAUCCUGCCAAGUAAUAGGAAUAGUCAAUCUAGUAGUAUUGUUAAAGAUCAGCAGGUUAAGAAGUAUAAAGUUAAGAUGAAGCCUCAACUAACACUUGAUGAUAUUGAUUCAUUGAGAAAGGACUUGGGUUGUGAAGAAUUGUCAACAGCAGCCACUUCAAGCUCCUCUAAAGUUUCUGAUUCCCGUAAAAGAAGAGCUAAUUACCAAGUGAAAGGCUCUCCUGUGGAGUCAGUUUCCUCAUCUCCAAUGAGGACAUACAACUUGAAUAGUCUUUCACCCACUAGAAAGGGUGGUUUUGAGAAAGAUGAUGCUAAGUGCAGUGAUUUUGGAUUGGCAGGAAGCCCAAAAAAGUCUAUGAAUGGCAAUAUCAAUUUAUUGAGCAAUGGAUCUGGGCAAUCAAGAAAGGGCAACAGUUCCUUUCAUGCUGAGGCUUUUGAUAGUUCAUUGAUACAUCUUCGAGAUAGUGAUGCCAGAGACAGGUUUGAUACAGAUGCUAAGCUUUCUUCUGAUGUUGGAAAUGGCCAUUUAGGUAAUAGUGAUGCUGUUUUGUUUGAGGAACAUAUGCAUGCUGCAAGUUCCAUUGGUAGGAAGGAUAGGAUGAACAAGAAACUUUUAAUGUUACACCAUCAGAAAACUGUGAAAAAUUCUCCAUUACAAUCCAAGGAAAAAGAUAAAGAUUUUGGUGUUGGCAUCCAAACAGAUGGAGAGAAGGUCUCUGAUCCUCCAAGUGAUAAUAUAGGCUUGAAACCAACUAGGAGUCUAAAGGAAGAUAUGAAGGUUAACAAUAACCAUCUUGAGUCUGGUACUAAAUUUGUUCGAAAUAGUAAGAAUCAUGGCAAUUUGGAUACUGCAAAACCAGGUGAUGGUAGAAGAGAUAACCAAUUAAAAUGUGAAGAUGAUUGGUCAAAUAUGAAAUUUGGUGCUUCAUGUAACAUGGAUGGGAAGGCUCCCACAGAGCAAAGGUCAAUUCUGGAGUUUGAAGCUGAAACUGCUAUGAGGGAACAGUCAACUCAAGUGGGGUCAAAGGAGGAAAGGUCAGAAGUUGACCUGUCUCGAGGAGAUAAACAAGCCACCUUUGGUGGUGCUAGCAGACCUCCAUCACUCCAUAAAGGAGCUUCUGUGGAUGCUUCUGUUGCUGGUAAUUCAUCUAAAAUGUCAAAAGCUCCUGGUCCUGUUUGCCAGAAUGGCACCAACAACAGCACAGGCCAUCCUAUUCCUGAUCGCAGUAUGAUUAAGAGCCUGGAUGCUCCAAACCUUUCCAAAAGGGAUUCCUCCAAUCAGAAUGCUUCUAAUGUCUUGAGAGAAGCUGAAGAACUCAGAGAUUAUGCUGACCGUCUCAAGAGCACUGGAUUUGAUUUUGAAUAUAAUGAGGCAUAUUUCCAAGCUGCCUUGAAGUUUCUUCACGGUGCUUCCCUCUUAGAAACCUGCAGUGGUGAAAGUGGUAAAUAUGGCGAGGCAAAUCAGAUUCAAAUCUAUACUAAUACGGCAAAGCUUUGCGAAACUUGUGCAAAUGAAUAUCAGAAACGCCAAGAAAUGGCCACUGCUGCUUUGGCCUAUAAAUGCAUGGAAGUUGCAUACAUGAGGGUAGUAUAUUGCAAAAAUAUGAGUGCAAGUAGAGUUUGGCAUGAUUUGCAGGCUAGUCUGCAAAUGCCCAUUCCCCUGCAAGGUGAAUCUCCUUCAUCUUCUGCAUCUGAUGUUGAUAACACAAACCAUCAAGCAAUGAUAGACAGGACUGCUUUAUCUAAACCGAAUGGUUCUCAACCUGGAACUCAUGUUAUUGCUCCUCGAAACCGUCCAAGUUUUGUUAAAUUGCUCGACUUUGCCAAGGAUGUUAAUGCUGCAAUGGAGGCAUCCAGAAGAGCUCAAAAUGCAUUUGGAGCUGCUAAUAUAAUCUUGGAAGAGGCUCAAAAUUUGGAGGCUAUCUCAUCUGUUAAGCAGGUGAUUGACUUCAGCUUCCAGGAUGUAGAAGAGCUUACACGUUUGGUACGACUUGCAAUUGAGGCCAUCAGCCGGCAAAGUAUCGGUGGCAAUAGAUAAGACAACUGUGUAUAUAGUCUACUCCUUGGACAAGCAAGCCUUUUUAUGCAGGAUGGAAGCAUGGACCUGCAUAUUGCAGUUGGUGGAGAGGCAUGGAAUUAAGUGCUUGUUAUCUUUAUGUACAUGUGUACAAAGUGGGAUUGGUUUCCAUUUUCCUGAUUCUUUUGAAUAUUCGGCUUUUUUUAUUCCCCUAUGAUAAGAGCAUAGUUUGCUCAACCUGAGAAUUAUGGGUUGGGGGGAGGGAGAUGUAUAAUUUAUGCUUGUUCAAGGACAAGAUGCAGAGUUAAUGUAAGAUGCAAUUUUGAAACUAGUUUUGUUUUUGUUAGGAUUUGAGGAACAUAGGAUUAUAGAGACCUAGAAGAUUUAGCCAUUUAGGUGACAUGUCGAGAUCAUAAUUUUGAUGUAGUUCAAGUGAUCCAUUCUUGCCAAGGACUCGAAUGUUUGAGGCCAUAUACAUUCUCAAAAUUUUUUAAUUGAUCAGAAAUCCCAGUUUUGGAUAAGAUUUUGGUGAUUUUGAUUCUACAAGGUCUAAAUUCUAUAUUGUCCGUAAGUAUAGUGUACUGGAGAUAAUCCCCUUCAUGCAACAAUUUUCAGUUUGCAGAUAAUUUAUCAAGGGAUGUUGGUGUUCAGGUAUGUAAUCCAGUGUAUAUUUUAGGUUUUGCAAUGAGGGAUAAAUAUCACGUUGCACUUGAAAUUCUGUAUGCCUAUCUUGUGUUGAAAAUUUGUGCUUUUAAUAUACUUCUAUGCAGGCUUAGUAUUGUGUCUUAUUUUGUUGUUCAACAAGUUUAUGACUUCAAGGUGAUUUUUGCUGGUAAGAAGUAUCACGAGGAACAAAUUGCUGCCAUACUGCAAGAAAUAGCAAAAUGACACAUGAGUUUAGCAACUUGGUAUUUGACCUUUUCCUAACAGGUAAAGCUUCUAACCGAAUGCUAUAUUUGUUUGCACCAAUAAAUGUUUGCUAGCCUGCCUCCAAAGUGUUGACUUUCCCUUUAUUAUUUAUUAAUUUAUUUACUUAUUUUUUAAAAAUCAUUCCCACUAGAUCUUUUCUCUUGUGCUGACCUUGUUAAUCCAACUCAGACCUUUUAAUAGUUUUAGAUUAUAUAUAUGGUGGUGUAUUGUUUUCGUAUGUUUUAAACAAUUCCACAAGGUCUCACAUAGUAGUAGUAUUUACAUCUAAGGUAUUUCAUUUAGCUCAUGACAUCCUCUUGUGUGUUGGUAAUAUUGGUUUCUUGAACAGUGGCAACAACUGUAAGGUGCCUUUGUUUAUUUGGUUUGCUCAUUAUGCUUUUUGGUUGUUUGUUAUUAUUAUUAUUAUUGUUAUUAUUAUUCUCUCAAUAUAUACUUCAAAUGUCAAUGACUACUUUUUCCUGUGAAACGAUGCUGCAGUUACAGGUCUACCAUUGAAUACUUAGUUUUAAUCCAAUUUUUCUUUCUUGCAUAGUUGGCUUGUUUAGGUUCAAAUUUGACACUAUCAAAACUUACGAAAUCACAACCUCCCACCUUUUGGCUGAUUCCUCAGUGCGAGAUCUUUGCAACACGUUCUUCCAUUUUGGUAUUUUAGUUGAUGCACACUGCACUUUACAUAUAAGUUAAGUUAACAUGUGAACACUUGUGUUUAAUCCAAUGUUUCCUUCUUGCAUGGUGCUUGCUUUGUUUAGGUUCUGCAUUGACUCAAUGAAACCCUACAAAAACACGACCUCCCACCUUGCCUUGGCUGAUAAAAACGAGGUAUGCAAGUGUAUUUGCCAAGAGCAAGAUCUUUGGGAUGCUUGCUUCCAUUUUCAUAUUUCAGCCGAUGCCAGAACUGCCCCCACUACAAUAUGAAGAAUCCAAUGAAGUGAAAUUUUUGUUCAAUUUCCCCAUAAUAUUACUCCAAUAAUCCAAUUUCUGCUGUGGAGCUUUGCUGUGUUUGGUUUAAGCAUAUUUUAUUUUUAGGCUUUGGACUUGUGAUUUUCCAGGGUAGUUUAGAAUGGAAGAGCUAGCUAGGGUACAUUUUAGCUGUACGUUAUAAUGUAUGUACUUAAAAAUCGUUUCAUGUGGAACAGGUGACUUCAAACAUGUAUAUUCAAUUUUGCAUCAUUUA